rnacentral:misc_RNA from 1 species
GUUCCCAGCGAGUCGCCAUUACUGUCGCCAUAUUAUGCGAAGAAUGUAUUAAUUUGUGAAAAAAAUCUAGGUUCAUUAUAAAAUUGAUGUUUUAGCAGUAAAUUUGGAUACCCCAGGUGUUUUUCAGAACAUGGAGUGACUAUGAGUCACCCAGGUCCGACUGGAAACGGUUGCUCACUUGAGGAUUGUUACACAAACUUGUUUGCUUUGACUGACCUUUGUGGCAUAAAAUGGCGUAAACUGGCUGUGUCACCAGAAUGUGUUUGUGUAGAGCAGUUAGAAGAUCCUGUGCUGGUUUCCUACUCCAAGUGCUUACAGUCGGGUAUUCUGUGUGUGUGGAGGCGAGUCCUGCGCAAUAGUGAUUUCAGGUCGUCAGAGCAUCUCAGCAAGGAACUAUGGAUAUUUUGGUAUGGAGACGAACCUACUGGUUUAGAAAAUCUGCUAUCUACUGAUCUGAAUGAAAUUGAAAGAGGAUCAUGGGAUAAAGACCAGAAAGAUCGUGAUAUUGGCUUGUCCUAUGAAUGCAGAACGUUACUCUUCAAAGCUCUCCACAACCUCAUUGAAAGAUGUCUGUUAACAAAAAACUUUGUCCGGCUUGGAAAAUGGUUUGUUCAGCCAUUUGAUGCCAGUGUUAACUCUGAUCGAAGUGCUCAUCUGUCUUUCUGCUUCAACUUCUUCCUGCACGGUGAAAGUCAGGUGUGUGCUAGUAUCGAGAUCAAACAGCACCCAUCAGUAUGGACACUGACUCCCCAGCAUCUUUCUCUUGUGCAAGAGAACCAGGCAUCCUUUCAAGUUAUCCUGGCUCCCUAUGGCCUGAUGGGCACCCUGACUGGAAAUACAUAUCGGGACACAGACCAGCUGAGUCACAAGCUGUUUGACGAGUGGUGUCAGUUUUAUCCACUCGAUAGCAGUGAUGGUGAUGCAAACAAGUUGCCAAAUCUCGUGGAGGUUCUUGUUGCUGGUGUCAGAAUGCGGUACCCAUCGUCUUACGUUCUUAUUUGUGAUAAUGACGACUCCCCCGUCAGAUUGCAGCCAAUGUCGGUUGGAGGUGGAGGAAUCUCAGGAAUCAGGUCUCAGGGGAACCAGUCUAUGAUGUCAAACGGCCCACUGAGUCCGCCAUGUUCUCCCAUUGACCCAGCACUCGUCCACGACCACAACGUGAAGGUUGUGCCAGUACCCAUAAUGCAUCAUGGUGUGUCUGACACUGCUCCCGCCAGCCUUCCCAAUGCCAGUGAGGCGUUCAGUCACCUCAUCACGGAUAAGGUUUCACAAGAUGCGUGUAUUACUACGGCCAUGGCCAAGAGAACAAGUGAUAUGAGUGAAGAAUAUGCUGCAAGCCAGUGGCAUUUUGCAGAACCCACCUCCAAAGUGAACUGUAAUUGUGUAAGGCAGAGAAAGUUAAAAAAUAGUAGUGCUGGUCAGGGCAAAAACUUUAUGGCCGGAAAACACAAGUGUGACAAGCAAGAAAAGCUUGAGAGACAACAAUCGCGUCAUGGUCGAAAUUCGACUCCAUUUCAUCGGCGGUCUCCAUUGACCGACGAUCUGAUGCAGUUCGAUAUGGAUUCGAUCAUAAGUCGGAUGCCACCAAACCCAGCCUUUUGUCCCACAGGGGGCACCACUGUGCAACCUCAAGGUCGUAACACCCCAAACGAAACGAACGUUGACACUCCUUCGGCUCCAUCGCCUUUGGACGAACCUCAACCGCUGGGCAAUCAAUGUGUUGAUCCGCCUAUGCCCACACUGAGUCCCCACCCGCCGACCAAAGUGGGUGGGGACAAAGAGUUUAGUGGCAAGUCGGGUGCGGUGCAGGAUUCGCAAGGUGAUACGUGUUCCGGCUUUCAGGACUUCUACAAUAAGACUGACGAGGGUUUAACAAAAACCGAAUCCUCUCCGUACCACUGGAAUAGUUUGGACUCGAAAAAUGAGAGUGUCAAUAACUGGUUACAGUCACAACACCGGCAUGUGGUAGACAGUCAGGCAGGACCAAAGAGGCCAAGCUUACCAUCGAAAGAAACCGAUCAACAGCUAGAUCUAGUCGCAGAUUCUCUCUAUAAUUUCAACCCUUUACAGGAAUGGAUUAACCUUCCUGUGAAGAAAGCCCGGUUGGAUCGCUAUCUGGAUAGCCAGACAAAUGGAGACCAAACUUCAAACCACUCUUCUCAUUCCCAAAGACAUGAACAGAAAGCGAGAACACCAUCACCUGUACUUGACCCGUAUGAAUUCGUUGACGAACCUUCACUCAAUCCAGGAACCCUUGUCAGGGGUUCUCGGAAGAGUCGGGACGACCGAUCCUUUAACAGAAUGGAUGAAGAUCUUAAGGAUGCAGCAAGACUUGGUGACUUGAAAGAGGAAAAACCCAAUGAUGUAUUACCCCUUGGUUCUCCAUCUGCACUUGUAAGCAUGAAAUAUGAAAAGGAUCUUGUACCUCAGGAGUCUGAUCUCGAUCAUAUGUUUGAAUCUUCAGGGGAUGACAGUGACGAGGGCGGAGGAACAGACUCGGGCUUGUCUGGAAGUAAGACCACUGAUGAACUAAAGCUUCCAAAAGUCGGCAUCAUUGGUCAAUCCGAACUAGUUAGAAUGUAUCCAACCCCUCCGUCAUUAGAAAACAAUAAAGAAUCAUCACCAGAAAUGAUUACCGAUAUUGUCUCGGAUGAUCCAUGUUAUAAAGUUGAUAUUUACCAACUGGUCCAUACAGAAGAUAUCAGACAGAUUUGUGAGCAGGAUGUAAAUAAACCUCCGAAGUUUGCGAAGUUUGUCGGUGCUGCGAAGUACUCGCCGGUCGAGUUGCCAAGCAGCCAGCUGUCUCCCAUACCUCUAUUACCAGAAUAUAAACCAUCGUGGGAGUUCCCCAUGCCCAUCAUGGAAAAACCACAUUCUCAUUCAAGCCAAUACCUAAACCCAAUGUCCAUCGACAAUAUACCAAGCCUGACAUCGCGUAUGCCGGGCAGCAUGAUAGAGAACUCCCCAGCAACUUUCAAUAAUUCCAGUCAGCAGAGAACACCCAGAACACCGCGCACACCUAUGAGUUACGAGCUCCAGUCGCCCGCAUCCAACGCAUCCUCAUACCUGAACAAAACCCUCAACUCCAUUGACAAUCAAGGAACAAAUAACCAAAUUCCUGAAGUGCACAGCCUUAUUGUUAAUGUGUUGCUCUCUGACUCCAUUUUGAAUCUUUUCAAGGACCACACGUUCGACAGUUGCAAUAUUUGUGUUUGCCAUGGCAACCCAGACAUUAAAGGAGCCGAUUUCGGACUCUAUUUUCCUGAUCAGGGUGGAUCCUCUGAUUGGGCCGACCGGUGCACGUGCGGGUUCAGUGCAGCAGUCAAUCGCAAGUACGGCUACAAUUCGGGUCUGUUUUACGAGGACGAGGUGGACAUUACAGGUAUUCGUGAUUCCCGCUUCGACCAGCGCAAGCCGAGUUUGAUAGCCACGGACUAUGACAAGGAGGAAGGCGGUUCAAAAGACCUCCCUCCUGUAGAUAUACCUCAGAUUAUUUUGGAACUGCUCCUGGGACAGUUUACGGUGCCAUAUCCAUCCACAGUUACAGACAAUCGGUUGGCACUUCUUAAUAUGGCAGCGUCUACACAGUUCACAGGCAGCAUGAUCAACAUGUUGCAGCUCAGAGAUGGCAGCGAAGCGACAUACCACGCUCUAGACCAGGGUCGACAGGCCAUGGAGCACUGUUCUUCCGGCAAGCUGGACGACCCGUCGUUGAAGUACAAAUGCCUUCACAAGUGGCCAUUCCUGCACGGUGCUAGCUGUAUUCCAGUGAACUCACAGGACAUCCUGCAGCGCCUCAAAUCUCUGAACCCGCUCCUCCAGGACACCAUUCAGAACACGAGGGUUAUGAGGCUGUGGGAACACAGCUACAAGGUGCAAGGACCUCUCAGCUGGAAGGACUUCCAUCAGCUGGCUGGGCGAGGUUCGGAUCAGAAUUGUGAACCCCAGCCUAUUCCUCACUUCCUGGUCGGUCACGACAGAGAAUGGCUGUCUGUGUCUCCAUACACCAUCAGAUUCUGGGAUAAACAGUUUUUGGAACCGUUUGGUCGGCAACGUGAUGUGGCAUACGUGGUUGUAGCACCAGACAAUGAUUUUAUUCUCUCCAAUGUGAUAAGUUUUUUCAAAGAAUUAAGUACUGUGUAUGAACUGUGUCGCCUUGGUCGACACUGCCCUAUCUCUAAAGUGCUACGUGAUGGAAUUAUGAGAGUCGGCAAAAGUGCUGAGCAGAGAGUUGCCGUGGAGCAAGUUGACGACUGGUUUAAACAGAUAGGUGAAUCAGCUUUUGCAGCCAAAUUGAAGUUGUAUGCUCAGGUUUGCCGCUACAGAUUAGGUCCAUUUCUUGCCCGGCAGACAUUGGAUAAAACAUUGUUUGAGUCGCAACAUCCAAAAAUGCCAUUCAAGACGCCGGAGCCAGCAAAACCUGCCACACCAGACAACACUAGUGCUAUGUCUGGAGAAGACAAUAAAAAUGGUGUUCAGCCCGAUGGCACUGGUGCUGGUAAGGACGGAACAACUCAUGACCUAGACAACGAAGACAGCGAUGAAUGCCCGGCAGUUGUGGUUUACCUGAUUGACCCAUUCACGUACAACCAAGAGUGGGACGAGCUGAGCCGGUUAGCUAUGAUAGGACUGUGUCGCUGCUACCAGCAGAUGGUGCAGUAUCUCCCGGAGCAUCUUCAAAACAAUAUGUUUCUACAGGUUGUGCCUUUAAAGACUAUACUGAACCAUAAGGAAAGUAGCACCCAGUUCCAGACACUGAAGUCAGUGGCGUUUUCCGUGUUUACCACCUGUCGCUGGAAUCUCACACACACUAUCAUGGGGCGUUCACUCACAGGCUUCGGACCAGCUGCCGAGGCAGAGAUGUUCCUCAAAAAGAAACAGGCUGACGGUGCCGGGUUUGUGAAGCUGUACAGUCCACCGUUUAUCCUGGCACCACUGAAAGACAAGCAGGCGCAGCUGGCCGAGUUCUGCAGUGAGAAGACUGAGAAGACGCAGGUUCUGUUCUGCAUGUACUGCCUGUCCGAGGACCAGCGCUGGCUGCUGGCCACGUGCACCGACACCGGCGGGGAAAUGAUGGAGACCUGCGUCAUAAAUAUCGAGAUCCCAAACAGGAGUAGAAGAAAAAAGGCUUCAGCCAGAAAAAUUGGCCUCCAGAAACUCUGGGACUACAUAGUGGGGAUCGUGUCCAUGUCAACAAUGCCUGCCCGACUUGUGAUUGGCCGGUUUGGCCGGUUAGGUCACGGUGAACUGAAGGCCUGGUCUGGCCUGUUGAGUAAAAAGAACUUACAGCACACGAGCAACAGUAUCAGAGAGCAGUGCAGCCAGUGUAAAUUCAACAACAGUGACGUUCCCUGUGUUCUGAGCGCAUGUCUCGUGUCCAUGGAGCCGCACUCCAGUCUGAUGGUCAUGUCGGACGUCUACAAGCCCGAGGAGAAACCCAGCAGCAACUGUCCUCUGCAGACGCCGCGUGAUGCCUCUGCCAGUCACAUCCUUGUGUUCCCCACUUCGGCCACAGCCCAGGCCAAUAGUCACCCCUUGAACCCAGAAGCGCAGCUUGAUCUUGGAAAUAGUCAUUUGGAGUUAGAUGAUAUGCUAAACGGCAUUGGAAAUGAUGAACUUGGACAAAUGGACCAUGGCAUGGACUUUUUAAGUGACCUGGUCUUUGACGAUGCAUUUAACACAUCCCCACCUGGUGGCAAUUCACCACCGGGUUCACCUUUGAACUAUGACAGAGGUUUACAAAACUCGUCGAAACUUGAUGGACAGUCAGCUAUGGGAGGAAGUGCCAUGAAUGAUCCUCAGAAUGACGUCAAACUGAUGCAGCAGCCGCUGGCGAUGGGCUAUUACGUGUCCACUGCACGGUUAGGGCCACUACCAAAGUGGUUUUGGUCUUCAUGUCCAGAACGGGAACACAUGUGUCCCAGUGUCUUCAAGGUAAGAAUACUGUGUUCUCUUGUUUCCUGUCUUGACAGUUAUUGUGUAUUCUUUGCCUGUCAGUUAUUGUUUGUUUUCGUUGUGGGUGUGGGGGUGGGACAUAGCCCAGUGGUAAAGUGCCUGCUUGAUGCACAGUCGGUCUGGCAUCGAUCCCCGUCGGUGGGCCUAUUAGGCUAUUUCUCGUUCCAGCCAGUGCACCACGACUGGUACCUUGUCUGUGAGAUGGAGCAGAUAAAAAAAUCUCUUGCUAUUAUAACUAAAUAUUUAUUGUUACAGAUCAUAUAGCAGUGUCGACGUUGGGAGUCCCAAAUCACUGCUUUGCAUAUAUAUCCAUGUUCUAAGCAACAACAAAAUAUGUUAACAAUAACAGAACUAACAGAAACUGAUUCAGACUAAAAUUCAACACAUGCAUACAGUUGGACAUGGACAGUGAUCUAUAAUGUAACUAUAUAUUUUUAUGAUCCGAGAUUUAAACGAGAACAAAGAAAAUAGUGAAUACGAGGGAAGAGAAUCAGAAGGAAGAAGAUUUAGAAGAAAAAGAAGAAGAGAAGACUGGUAUUUGACGUCCUGCCUCUGGAAAUAGCCAAUGAUUAUUCAAGCAAUGUGCUUGAGUGGUGUUACUGAACAAACUAAUUUUUAAAUUUGUCUCUGGGAAAGUCCAGACUAAAACAUAUUUUAGUGCUAUUUGGUAAGAAGUAGCCUGUAUGAUCUCAAUGUGUUUUCUGUUCCUAAUAGACGAAGUGUUGACGUUACCAUAUAAUGGACCCAAAACGUCAUGGGUAAAAUUUUCCUUUCUUGUUCAUCAUAUGACCAAAUUUGUUUUGGUUUUUUAUUAUUUUUUAUUAUAAAAAAGUUUCUAGUCUCAAAUGCCACGGUUUUCUUUUAUUGAAAGUAUAAUAAGUAGUUUUACUUUGCAGCCAUUAAUUAAUAUUGAUGAGUCAUUUUUUUAGAACAAUAAUUGUUUUAUUUUUCAGUCUGCCCUUCACAUUCAUACAUCAUCCAGUAUAGACGAAUUCCUUCCUCAUAACCAAGGCCGCAACAGCCAUGCCCUGGAUUCACACCUAACUUGUGAAGUACUCAGGUUUGUUCUUGAACACUACAAUGCACUGUCGUGGCUGACAUU